rnacentral:rRNA from 1 species
AUACGUAGGUGGCGAGCGUUGUCCGGAAUUACUGGGCGUAAAGGGAGCGCAGGCGGGAAUGCAAGUUGGAUGUGAAAUACCGAGGCUUAACCUCGGGGCUGCAUCCAAAACUGUAUUUCUUGAGUGAAGUAGAGGUAGGCGGAAUUCCGAGUGUAGCGGUGGAAUGCGUAGAUAUUCGGAGGAACACCAGUGGCGAAGGCGGCCUACUGGGCUUUAACGGACGCUGAGGCUCGAAAGUGUGGGGAGCAAACAGGAUUAGAUACCCUGGUAGUCCACACUGUAAACGAUGAUUACUAGGUGUGGGGGGUCUGACCCCUUCUGUGCCGUAGCUAACGCAAUAAGUAAUCCACCUGGGGAGUACGAUCGCAAGGUUGAAACUCAAAUGAAUUGACGGGG